GAUUCCUUAAGGUUUGUAAAGGAAUUGGAGUCACCUGUAUGAUCUCACAAACGCUGAAGACCCACGUGAUGCUGCCUGAUUAGCUUAGUGGCUGUGUCUCAAUUCAGGGUCUGCAUCCUACGUCGGCCGGAUUCGUCGGCCGGUUACGUCACAGCGCCGCGACUAGGCCUGUCCCAAUUCGAAGACUCCUUCAAAUGCGGUCGACGAAUGCGGCCUUCUUUUCGCCUGAAUGAAGGAUGGGUCCGGUGUAUCCUUCAACAGGUAGCAUUUCCCAAGAUGCCUUGCGGGCCGGCCAGCAGAAAAACUUAAAAACAAUGGCGGACAGUGAAGCGGGAGCUGUCGGAGAGGAUUGCGCAUAUAAAUGAACAAAAGAGAAAACCAGGGAAUUUAUUAAGCUUAGGGCGGAGAUGGACCACAUGAUCACCGGAGCAAAGUAUUCGGCGGCUGUGGCAUGGAGACUAUUCUGGAGAAAAUGGGCAUCCAGGGGAAGGUGCCAGCGAUGACCAGCUUCUGGAUCUGAUCAGGGAGAACAUGAGGCUGCAGAGGGAGGCAGAGGGCCCAGGAGAGAAGGAAUAACUUUGACAGCUUUUUACUUUGCUAGAAAAAAAAUGGUUAAUAA